rnacentral:rRNA from 1 species
UCACUUCUGGAUGGACCUGCGGUGCAUUAGCUUGUUGGUGGGGUAAUGGCUUACCAAGGCGAUGAUGCAUAGCCGAGUUGAGAGACUGAUCGGCCACAAUGGGACUGAGACACGGCCCAUACUCCUACGGGAGGCAGCAGUAGGGAAUCUUCCACAAUGGGCGCAAGCCUGAUGGAGCAACACCGCGUGAGUGAAGAAGGGUUUCGGCUCGUAAAGCUCUGUUGUUAAAGAAGAACACGUAUGAGAGUAACUGUUCAUACGUUGACGGUAUUUAACCAGAAAGUCACGGCUAACUACGUGCCAGCAGCCGCGGUAAUACGUAGGUGGCAAGCGUUAUCCGGAUUUAUUGGGCGUAAAGAGAGUGCAGGCGGUUUUCUAAGUCUGAUGUGAAAGCCUUCGGCUUAACCGGAGAAGUGCAUCGGAAACUGGAUAACUUGAGUGCAGAAGAGGGUAGUGGAACUCCAUGUGUAGCGGUGGAAUGCGUAGAUAU